CUAAUUUCAUUUUCCUUUUUCAGGUAAAACCUCUCUCAAUCACUCUGUUUUCUAGAUUUCUUCUUAAUAACAAGCUUAGAUCUAUCGGCAUUUCCUCAUCCAAUACUUUUUUCUUCUGGGAUCAUUUCUAAUUUUCUUGUGCUUCCUUAACUCUUCCUGUUUCCAGAAAUAUUUCUUUCUUGCCGGUUUUUGGGCAGAUUGUUUGUUUCUUGCUUGUGCUAAUUUUUAUGAAGGCAACAUGAUAAAUUUUUACGUCAUUUUCAGCUUCUACCAUGUUAUUGGCAUAUAAAUUGCAGAUUUCUUUUUUGUUUUUAAUUACUGGGAUUGUUCUGUUGGUAAGUUUUUUUAUUCUCCAAUAUCAAGUAUAAUAUGGUUUUUUUCUUUGAUUUGCAUUUUUCAAAGCUAUUUUAGCUCUAUUGUACUGUGAUGCUUCCGUUUUGCUUGGAUGAUCUCUCUGUUAUUCUCGUGGUUUAGAGUUUAGAUUC
rnacentral:misc_RNA from 1 species